GAUGAACGCUGGCGGCGUGCCUAAUACAUGCAAGUCGAGCGAACAGACGAGGAGCUUGCUCCUCUGACGUUAGCGGCGGACGGGUGAGUAACACGUGGAUAACCUACCUAUAAGACUGGGAUAACUUCGUGAAACCGGAGCUAAUACCGGAUAAUAUAUUGAACCGCAUGGUUCAAUAGUGAAAGACGGUUUUGCUGUCACUUAUAGAUGAAUCCGCGCCGCAUUAGCUAGUUGGUAAGGUAACGGCUUACCAAGGCAACGAUGCGUAGCCGACCUGAGAGGGUGAUCGGCCACACUGGAACUGAGACACGGUCCAGACUCCUACGGGAGGCAGCAGUAGGGAAUCUUCCGCAAUGGGCGAAAGCCUGACGGAGCAACGCCGCGUGAGUGAUGAAGGUCUUCGGAUCGUAAAACUCUGUUAUUAGGGAAGAACAAAUGUGUAAGUAACUAUGCACGUCUUGACGGUACCUAAUCAGAAAGCCACGGCUAACUACGUG
rnacentral:rRNA from 1 species